rnacentral:rRNA from 1 species
AUUGAACGCUGGCGGCAGGCUUAACACAUGCAAGUCGAGCGGAGAUGAGGUGCUUGCACCUUAUCUUAGCGGCGGACGGGUGAGCAAUGCUUAGGAAUCUGCCUAUUAGUGGGGGACAACAUUCCGAAAGGAAUGCUAAUACCGCAUACGUCCUACGGGGGAAAGCAGGGGAUCUUCGGACCUUGCGCUAAUAGAUGAGCCUAAGUCGGAUUAGCUAGUUGGUGGGGUAAAGGCCUACCAAGGCGACGAUCUGUAGCGGGUCUGAAAGGAUGAUCCGCCACACUGGGACUGAGACACGGCCCAGACUCCUACGGGAGGCAGCAGUGGGGAAUAUUGGACAAUGGGGGGAACCCUGAUCCAGCCAUGCCGCAUGUGUGAAGAAGGCCUUAUGGUUGUAAAGCACUUUAAGCGAGGAGGAGGCUACUGAGACUAAUACUCUUGGAUAGUGGACGUUACUCGCAGAAUAAGCACCGGCUAACUCUGUGCCAGCCGCCGCAGUAAAAC